rnacentral:rRNA from 1 species
UACAGAGGGUGCAAACGUUGUUCGGAAUUACUGGGCGUAAAGCGCGUGUAGGCGGCGUAGCAAGUCGGGCGUGAAAGCCCACGGCUCAACCGUGGAAGAGCACUCGAAACUGCUGCGCUAGAGUUCUGGAGAGGAAGGCGGAAUGCUUGGUGUAGAGGUGAAAUUCGUAGAUAUCAAGCGGAACACCGGUGGCGAAGGCGGCCUUCUGGACAGAAACUGACGCUGAGGCGCGAAAGCUAGGGGAGCAAACAGG